ensembl:lincRNA 4930547M16Rik RIKEN cDNA 4930547M16 gene
GCCUUGGGGAUCGGACAGCCUGGCCCAGGUGAGAAGUCUCAAUUAGGUGAGUUUCCCCGGCCUGGGGAAUGUAGGCCAAAGAUGUACAAGCUGCAACCCAUGCACAAGACGAUCCAAAGUUGCAAAACGUUGGAAGAAACCCGGCCUGGAACUGCAAGAUGGCAACUUCCGCAGCCUCCUGGGUCACCUGGAAACCCGAAGGAUACAAUCGACUUCGAUUAUGGAUGCUAGGAUUAGGUAGCAUCUAACUCUAUGAGACAGAAUCGCAUCAAGCUGAGCUGAACAGAGGUAUUUGGCUUUGUUCACAGAAGACACUGAGAAAUCAGAAACAGAAAGAAAACUGGAUGGAUCCAUCAAGUGGCUUUUCUUGUCUGGUAUGGUGGUGUAUGGCUCUGAUCACAGCCCUUGGGAAGUAGAGGCCAGAUCAGUAAGGCAGGGCCAGCCUUGGCUACAAUUCUGAGUUUGAAUCUGGCCUGGUAACAAGAGACCCUGUUUGAAAAGAAAGCUGUAUAUUCCAGGCUGGCCCCAAAUUGACUCUGUAGCCUCUGGUAGAUUAGAAGCUCCUGCCUUGGCCUUCCACGUUCUGAGAUUAUAAGCACAAACCACACCACACUUAGCCAAAAGCUCCUCCUCUCAGAGAGCUAAAAGAGACUUGUUAGUCUAGGGUUCAAGUUCACUGGUAGGGUACUUCUCUAGUGUAUACAAGGACCUGAGUUCCAGCCCCAAGGUGGAAAACAGGAGACUUACCCCAUUUAUCAUGCCUAUUCAGGUCACCUGUCCCCUUCCGACGAACUGCUGUGUUCUGAUUGGUUGUUGCCAUCACACUCUACACUCUUGUUGACAGUGAUCAUGUCAGAUUUGCUUCCCAACACAUCCCAGCAUCCAUACAAUGACUGGCAAGUCUGUCACUUAAGUUAUUGAUACACAAGUGACCAUAUAAAGGUGUUCCCAAGGACUAGAACUGUCCCUGGAGCUAGAGCAGAUCUGUAGGUGUGUGGGGAACAAAGGCCACAUUACAGUGAAUGAACUAGCAGUGAAGGGGUUAAACACACAUUAGAGGUCAGAUUAUAUAUGGCAACUGUGAGAAAAACAAAGAGUAGCUUAGAAAAUCAGUAUGGGCUUUAGAGGCACACAGAUCAAAAUGUCAGGGCUGGCAAGAUGGCUCAGUGGGAAAAAAGGGUUUGCUACACCAUCCUAAUGGCUUCACUUUGGUCCCCAGAACCCACAGUAAGAACCCAAGAAGAGGACUGGCUCUCACAAGUUGACCUCUGACUUACACACACUAUGGUGCACUUACACAGACACACAACACAAACACACAAUAAUUUAAAGGAUUGGCAAGGUGGCUCAGCAGUUAAGGGUGCUUGCCCCCAAGCCUGAAGACAUGAGUUUGAUUCCUGGAACCUAUGUAGAGGAAGGAGAGAGCAGACUCUUGUUACUUUUCCCGUGAUUGCCACACUUGCACUGUGGUAUGCAGGAGGUCGAAGCUGCUGAGCCUGGAGCUGCUUGUGUCUGACAGAAUCCACCUUUCUUCAUACUUGAGCGAGCAGCAUCAAUGCUAACAGCAAAUGGCAUCUCCUCAUCUUAGCUUGUCCUUCAGGGGGGCACACAGUAAAAUCACCCACAAAGAGCACACGAGGAGUCACCAGCCUGUAAAUCAGUCUCUGUUCCAGCUGUCUGCAUUCCCAAAGGCACUGGUCCUCAGCCUUGCCUGAGGUUACACUACGCUGAGCUCAAAGGUCAGUCUCUCCAGGGUCCUUUCUCUUCUUGGAGCUUAUGGGCUCUGGUAGGGCAGAAGCAGAAAGCACUUUGGCCUCCCUCAGGAUUAUUAAACGAUUCUCAUGUCACAGUCCAGAGAAAAGCACUUUGUACUCCAAGAUAAGAAUGGCAAUAUUAACCUCCUGGUUGUGUUUAAAACAAUAAAACCUUGAUCAUUGCUCAUAAACCUGGACUCUAUCAAGGGCAGGUCUGUGUGUUUUUCUGUACCUGCAUUCUCCGUUAUGAGGACUUGUGACUUUUAUCAUGAACAUGAUGACCACGGGUGCCUACAGUUCCUCUGUUUCUGACACAAGGCUGCAAAUUUACAGACCUUCACAGGUUUUUGCUUUUCCAUCAAAUUUAUUUUCAAUUAAACCUUCUCAGGCACUCAUCAGGUGAACUGACCUUUCAGGAAUGCAUCUGCCUCUGAGUCAAGCCUGGAGAGGUGGCCCAGUGGGUGACAGAUUUUCCAUGCCAGCUUGGCUAGCUGAAUUCGAUCCAACAGAUGGAAAGAACUGACUUUUAAAGUGUUGCCCUUCGACCUCCACAUAUGUGUAAAGCCAUGUACACACACAUACGCACACACACAUGCACGCACACACACCACACGCACAAUUUUAAAAUAAAGCAAGGUUAAAAGG